rnacentral:rRNA from 1 species
CAGUAGCCGCGGUAAUACGAGGGGUGCAAGCGUUAUUCGGAUUGAUUGGGUGUAAAGGGUGUGCAGACGGCUUAUUAAGUCACUUGUUAAAUUCUUCGGCCUAACUGAAGGUCUGCAAGUGAUACUGAUGAGCUAGAGGGUGGAAGAGAGAAGUGGAAUUCUCGGAGUAGCGGUAAAAUGCGUAGAUCUCGAGAGGAACACCAAUGGCGAAGGCAGCUUCUUGGUCCAUUCCUGACGUUCAUACACGAAAGCGUGGGGAGCGAACAGGAUUAGAUACCCGCGUAGUCCCUGUCUCUUAUAC